rnacentral:snRNA from 1 species
UAUCCAUCAUUUACUUAAUUCCUA